AUCAUGGUGAAACUGUUUGCCCGAAAGAGGAGUUGCUAUAAAUAUAGAUGUCGUGGGAUACAAGGAACAGGAAGAAAACAGCAGGCCUGCUUUUAGAACGAGGUGCAGGCUCCAAAGUGAUGGGAGCCUCUGGAGAUCUGUGCGCCUUUGUAUUCAAAAUGAUAAUUUUGUUGAAUUCACACUUUGUGCUAACAAUAUCCCUUUCACCCCAGACACAUUUUCUGGGGUUGGAGUUGAAGAAUAAGUUUCGGGGGAGAAUGCCAGAAUCAGCUACCCAGAUAUUAUCCUGAAGGUGGGGAUGCUGGCCAGACAUCAGGUGGCCCCAUGUGCUCCGCCACCGGUUGUCCAUACCUUACACAGUCUCCUCCACUAGAGAGUGGUUGAAGUCUCGUAGUCCCCGAGACUGUCUUGCAGAAACCGACUGUGGGAAAGGUCGCAGAAGACUCAUCCUGGGAUGGCUGUAUGUGUUUUAAGACUGUCUCAGAAGAUUGGGACAGAAAGACCCUACACGAGGUUUGAUGAAGUAAGUAGCCAUGUCUCAAGGACCUACAGGUGACUCAGAAAUUAUAGGAAAUGCUAGAACCUGCGUUUGGUUCCCAGCUGCAGCCAGCCAGAGGCUGAAACACUGGCUCAUGGAGCCAUAAGGAAGUGAGUUCUGCCAUCAGCCUGUGUGAGCUUCAGGGAGGACAUUGUGACACCUGGAGUAGAAGACUUACCAAUCCAUGCCUGAACGUCUCACCCAUGGGACCUGAGAUCGUGUGUGGUGUACCUUACAACAUCUGUAGCUAUUUGCCGUGCAUCAAUAGAAAAUGGCUUCUCAGGUGUGAGGCAGGAGACAGCCAUGAAGGGACCCAGUUUCCUACCUCAGUUAAACCUGUCUGGAAACACUCUCCUAGACACACCCAGAGAUGCAUCUACUGGAUAAUUCCAGAUCUGGACGAGCUGACAAUCAGGAUUAACUGUUAUGCCAGCAUCAUCACUGCUCCUGGCUGGACAGGCUCCCUGCUGGGCACUGCCCACAGCACAUCUAAUAUUUGAUGUGGGGAAGGAGUUUAUCAUUUUGAGAAGUGGGAAAACCCUGAAGAAAAUUGUGUUAAUUGUGUAGAUGUCUAAAGGAAGAACGGUCCAGAGAGAUUAAACAGCUGAUGCAAAGACCUUGGGGGCAUAAGCUUGGAUGGCAGGAAGGGGUGGGAGCUUGGAGUGGCUGUUGCUUGGCUAUAUCAGAGUCACCUGAGGGGAAGGCAAUGGAGUAAGCUCAGAGCAAAGGGAACAAUGGAGUUUACAGAGCUGCAUCUUAGGAGCCAGGCAGCCAUUAUGCGGAAUUGAAUCUCACCCUGGGGAGAACAGAAAGACAGGAGAGAAGUGAUACAACCUAGCAUUUCCAGACGAUGUUCUGCCUGUUGAGUUAAGAAUAGACUGGAGGGAGGACCAGGCCUAGCUUGUUGAGGCCUGCAGUCUGUCUGUCUCAGCACCACACACACGAGAGGCUGAGGCAGGAGGACUACUACAAAUACUCAGCUGCAUAAUGAAUUCAAGGCCAGCCUGGACUAUGUGCGACUCUGUUCUAUAAAAAAGCAAAGCGAAAUAGGCCAUGUGUCCUCCCCUUACCCCAACUUAGCGUCAGGUGACCUGCACGGAAUGCUACCUUGGAUCUUCUAGUUGUUGACGAAAAAAAGAAGAUUGUUGUAGGUUACUUUAGAAAUAAAUCAAAAUCAAUUAGGUUUGCUUGCAGGAUCUGGGAAUAGCAUUUGCUCAUCAGCUGUGAAUUUCCAAAGCCCUGGCACUUCUCGUACCUCAGGUGAAGAAGGUCUUCCUGAGAAGGCUUCCAGCUGGGCUGGAAGCAGGUGCUACCUCACCACUCCUCAGGCUCACUCCCUUGAUUGAUGUGGCUGGAAUCCCACCUGUAAACCUGGGCUAGGAUGAGGUCCUUUUGGGAAGAGGCUGUGGAAUGCCAGGCUCUUAUUAGAACCAGCUGGAUAAUCCGAGCCGCUUUCUGAUUCGUGGAGCGCCAGCCCUGCAUGACAGACUUGAUGAGCAAUAGAGAGAGCACAUUGUUUAAAAGGCAGUGAGGCCUGGAUUCUACACCAAGUGAUGUGUGUGCCUGCUCUGGGAAAGAGGUGCCCGCCUGCAGGUGACUGGGCUGCAAGGCUGAACUUUGCUCUCCCGUCAACACAGUGCUUGUGACCUGGCUGGCAGAGUUUGCUUAGCUCCCAGACGCUUGACCUUGGGGCAGGUGGUCUCAGUUGGAGUCCUUCUAUCAGUUCAGGGCUUCUUACAAGGGCCAUGAAUCUCCUGGAGCGGUGAGGUAAUGGCUGGAGCAGCACAGGGCACUCCCUGACAUGACCCCAGCCAGCCAGAAGGCAGCACUUCGGCCCCUCUGACUCUUGAGCAGUAGGGAUCCAGUUUCUUGCCUCAUACUUUCCAUGGCUUGCUGGCCAAGCUCUAGAGGCUUUUCGAGCAAAGGAAAUCAACUUGGCUAAUUACUCUGAGGCACUAUCUCACACUCCCUGCUCAGGGAAUUCCAGAGGUCAAGACCACAAACUCUCUAAGGUCUCAUGUGACUCUUGUGAGAUUCCUGAAAGUCCUCUCCUGCUAAGGAAUCCAGGGCAAAUGUUAGCAGCCAUCUUUGUUCCUAAUGAGGAAGCCAGCGCCGCGGCCAGAUUGCGGCUAAGUUGACAGGUUCUUGAAAACAACAGGUGUCGGUCCACACAGGGUCCUGCACGCCUCUUCCACACGCCCGCUCGCCCUCUGUGGUAGAAGCUGUGGUUGUUUGAGUGCUCAUGUAAGGAUGGAGAAAGGUUGGCCUAAGCUCUCAAGAACACGGCAGUGGGUAUGCUGGGAAAGACUUCUGCCCUUGACAUGUUCUGUGACUGUGACGGUGAUUUGAGGGGAGUUUACUGGCUCACAGUUUGAGGAUCCAGUCCCUCAUGGGGGAGGUCAGGGAAGCAGGGGCCUGAGCUCACAGUCCCCUUUUUACUCCAUCUUGGCCUCCAGCUCAGGGGACGUGGUGGCUCUGCCCACAUUCCACAGGUCCCUCCCUCCGCUUCAGUGGGCUUCUUGCCUGACCACUGGGAAAUCAGUCUCCAUGGCAACUCUAAGUCCCAGCCGUUGACAAGAUCAACCAUUGCACCACACCUGGAUGAGUGAUUUAAUGACCCUUAACCCCAAUUUAUUUGUCCUCUGAAGAUUGUGCUGGAGUCUGAGGUCUGGCUCAAACACACCCGCCUACAAGGAGGUUACCCUCAAAAACUGGUGGUUUCUCAUGCUGCAUAUGGUUGGCACCUCAAGGUGCAGGACCAGAGCCCUGGGAACCUACAUCCCCAGCCUGGGGCAUGCACACUUACCUUGAAAUGCAAAGGAUCUUCUGCAAGGCCACUCACCACACCCUGGCAUCUACUCGGGCAGAUCGGAGUCACGGAACCACCAUGUUUGUGUCUGGAGGGAUCGUGAGAUUGCACUACUGACUGUGUCUUAGGCACUAAGUCCCUCUGUCCAACACAGUUUGCUCUUGAGGGAUGGUGUGUGUCAUGCUUCAAAAAGGUCUUUCCUCCAAACUUCCUGAAAAUCUCCUGUAAGCAGAGGUGCUCAGAACACAAAGGGAAAGAGCCACCAGCUCCAAUGAAUGAAGUAAAAACCUCAGGCAUUGUCAUGAAAGGAGAUUCAGUUAGCCAGCACCAUUCGCUCUGUAGCCUGAUGUGUGACAGGUGACAGACUCUCUCCUGCAUUGCAGUCCCUGCUCCAAGCUCCUAGUUGCUAUGCAAAACCUCCAGGCUACAACGGCUUUCCUAGAGCAAAAGCUUAGACCCACACCAAAGAAAUUUAACUGCAUAAGCCUCCCUGCUGUGGGGAAAGUCAGGGUACCAAACCGCUAAGGUUCCCCUCAUUUCCAUCAACCUGGUUCAUAGGGCUCUUGCUUCUGGCCUUGUUUUCUGUGUGCUUGAAUUGAUGCUUCUCCCCUCCCCCCAUUAGGUUCAAGCAUCGCGUUCAUACAAUAAUGGAGUUUGGCCUGGAAUAUUUGCAGAGGGUCAAGUUCUCUGCUGCAAACUAGAUCUCUCUUGCAUGUUAGAGUGUAAGUCGAAUAUCAGCUCUCACUUGUGUGUGUGCAAGGUAAAUUUUCCUGCUUCUCUCGGAGCUGUCUGACUGACCUUACAACUCUGACAGUAAUUUCUACUAGAGUCAGCAAGCUAAUCCAUUUGAUUGCAAACUUUUUGAAGUCAUUGUUCCUGCUAAUUUAGUGUUUGUCUUGGAAACACCGGACACAAGCCCAAUAAACAUUAAACACAAGAUCCCUUAAAACCAUAAACCCAAACCAACAAGUCCUCUGCUGAAGCCCCCGUAUGCAAUCCGACUGCAUUUGGGAUAAAAACAUACCCAUCACGUGAUUUAAGAGCUCUGCAAGGGUCUGGCUCUCAUUUAGCCUGGAGAAGUUGGAACACCAUUUCCCAUACUUUACAUGGAAGGAAAACCCUGGAUAAUCUACGGGGCCACAGCACUGUCAACCCCUGUCAGCAAAGAAAGAUGGACGCAUUCAUGGAUGUGAGCCCUGCUCAUCUCGAGCAGAUAGUAAAUGGCAAAUUCACUCACAAGUACAAUACAGAAGUUAAAAUUGUAAGAAGCUGCAAAAACCAAACAUGAGCCAUUGUUAGGCCACGCAUGGCCGCAGGUGCAAAGGGAUUUGUCUUUCCCUGUAGACAAAUUUUUUUCCUUGGGCUUCCAGCUCACAAAUAGUGACAUGGAGACUUGUUAUUAAUUAUGAAAGCUCAGCUUAGGCAUGUUCCUAACUAGUGCUUACAACUAGUGCCGGCCUGGCAACUCCUCCUUUCUUUUUCCCUGAGACCUCUCUGUCCCCAGAAAUCCCACCUAACCUCUUCCUGCCUAGCUAUUGGCCACUCAGCUCUUUAUUGAACCAACCACAGUGGCACAUCUUCACACAGUGCAACAUUUCCCUUCAGACCGCCCCACAUGGUCCUGUUUUGUCUGACAGGUUGUGGUGUCUUACAGAAAUGAAAGUCCCGUGGUGUUGCUCUGUCAUCCAGGUGUCUCCAGCAUGAGGACAGCAAGGGUAAAGCACGCUGAAUAUAAAUCUCUGGAGACAUAGCUCAGUGGUAAGGUCCUUGCCUAGCAUGUAUGAGGUCCCAAGUUCAAUCUCUAAGUGUCUCAGGAAAGGGAAAAAAGAAGUUUGUGUCAGAUCUGGAAAAUCCAGGAUCAAGGACCAGCAAAUUCAGUGCAUGAUGAGAACCACUUCCAAGUUCACAGGCGGUCAUCUCGUCUCGGGGCACGUAAGGGGCCGGGAGUCUUCGUGAUGGUUCUGCUAUCACUGGCUCCCUCCAAACACUGACUUGCCAAGGACUGACUUUCAUUUUCUACCUGGGGAAUUUGCUCUAGAGCCUGGCAUUAGCUGCUUUACAUCCGAUUGCGCCAAAACACCUGGUUACAGUAACAUGAAGAAGGAAGGCUCAUAGUUCCAGGCUGCAGUCCGUGUGGCAGGGAAGGCAUGUCAGCAGCAGGUGACACGGGUUAUUGUGGUAUGCUCAUGGUCAGGGACAAGAGGGACAUGAACACUGGUGCUCAGCUCACUUUCUCUGUUUUAUUCAGCAUAAUGAGCUCUUCCCAUCUCAUCUGACUCAAUCCAGAAACUUCCUCACAUACACACCUAGAGGUUUGUCUGGUGGGUGAUCUAGAGGCAAUUAGAUUGACAAUAUCAGCCAUCACAAUCCUAUAUCUAUGUCAUCUGUCUGUCCACCCAUCCAUCCACCCACCCACAUACCCAUCCACCCAUCCACCCAUUUAUCCACAGCAUAAAUAUGUAGAACACAAGCUAAACAAUUAGUGAACAUUUAUUAAAUAAUGAGUGAGAGGCUGAAUGGUCUGAAAACACCACCCUUCCUGGUCUCCUGGCUAUAUUCACAAAGUGAAGGGAUAAUGGUUAUUGUUACAACUAAGGCUUCUUCUGUGUCAGAGCUCAAAUGUGGAAUUAUAACAUACUUCCUAUCCCUCUUGUCACACUCAGCCAUAUCCCAAGCAAUGAUUCUGCUCUCCUGGCUUCACCUAGGACUGGGUUAAAUAGGCUACAGUGCCUUUAACAUUUAAAGGGAGAGCGGGAAGCCACACUCUGGCUCCAGAUGCUGGUUUGGUCUCUACUCAACCUUUACUAGGAAGUCGUACACUUUGAAAACCGCCGAGCAAGCUCCGUAGAGUGUGUCUCUUGAUCCUCUUAGUCUGUAAGAGUCCAUGGAUGUUGAGAGUAAUGGUUUGCUGCCCUGUGAAGAAGACUAGAGGAGAGACCUGCAUUCUUCUGUCCUGGGAUUUCUCCUUGAAUGAGGUAGAAGCAAGAAAGAAAAGCAUAGUCUACCACAGACUUACAGUUUGUGUAUCAGUGCUCCAGAGGAGGUGGGCAGGGGAGUGGACUGUGGUCCAUCAGGAGACAGAGCUCCUACAGCAAAAAACAAUACAAAGGAUUACCAAAGAGGGAAGGUGGCCAGGACGGUAUGGAACAGCACCUUCAGCUGCUGCAGACCGGCACCCUGCUUCAAAGCGAGGCAACUAUGCUCUUCUGCUGAAGAGUGAACUUUCUUCACCUCUGCACACUGGUGGCAGCCCAGGCACUUCUCAGCUAUCAGGGAAUGCGCCCUAAGAACACUCAGAAGCGCAGGGGUGGCGUUCAUCUGAAAGGUCUGGAGAGCCCAUGUGAACAGGUGGAGAGCCCGGGGCUAGGAGAAUUUGUCAGAUACAGUUGUAAACGUUAAUACUUUUCUCACCCACCAGCUGGUAAAGCUGGAGAGAUGUCAGCAGCUCGCUGAUUGACUGAGCUGUGAGCCCAUCCCUGUGGCCACUGAACCAUUCCAUCUGGCAUUUGGACUCUGGGAUUGGGAUGACUUGGGAAGAUGGCCAAAGUGAUCAGAUCCCUCUCUCUCGGCAGCCUGCCUCAGCAGCUGCAGUAAACCUGGCCCAUGCCCCCAAAUGCAUUAAUCCAGACAAAAUAAAUUUUACUUUGGGUUUGAUUUAGAAGCGAUAAUAUAAAAAAUGGGAACAUUUUCCAUGACCGAGUGAACAUGAUCAGUGUGCUAAAUUAUGAAGUUCAGCUUAUGCUAUCUAAUGGAAGACUGUAAAGUUACAGAAAUUCCAUAUGGGGUCAUAUUUCAGAAUUAUCACACAAAACUAUAAAGCAAAACCACAGUUCAUGCUUAAACGCUGUGCUAAGCAAGGGUGCCGAAAAGUCAUGAGAUUCGGUUUUUAUAAAACUUGCCAAAAUUAAAA